rnacentral:rRNA from 1 species
UUACCGAUUGGUACGGAACAACCCAGAGAAAUUUGGGCUAAUACCGUAUGUGCCCGUAAGGAAAGAUUUAUCGCCAAUCGAUGAGCCCGCGUUGGAUUAGCUAGAUGGUGAGGUAAGAGCUUACCAUGGCGACGAUCCAUUGCUGGUCUGAGAGGAUGAUCAGCCACACUGGGACUGAGACACGGCCCAGACUCCUACGGGAGGCAGCAGUGGGGAAUAUUGGACAAUGGGGGCAACCCUGAUCCAGCCAUGCCGCGUGAGUGAUGAAGGCCCUAGGGUUGUAAAGCUCUUCCAGUCAUGAGGAUAAUGACGUUAAUGACAGAAGAAGCCCCGGCUAACUUCGUGCCAGCAGCCGCGGUAAUACGAAGGGGGCUAGCGUUGUUCGGAAUCACUGGGCGUAAAGCGCACGUAGGCGGACUUUUAAGUCAGGGGUGAAAUCCCGAGGCUCAACCUCGGAACUGCCUUUGAUACUGGAAGUCUUGAGUUCGAGAGAGGUGAGUGGAACUCCGAGUGUAGAGGUGAAAUUCGUAGAUAUUCGGAAGAACACCAGUGGCGAAGGGGCUCACUGGCUCGAUACUGACGCUGAGGUGCGAAAGGUGGGGAGCAAACAGGAUUAGAUACCCUGGUAGUCCACGCCGUAAACGAUGGAAGCUAGCCGUCAGUAGCAUGCUAUUUGGUGGCGCAGUAACGCAUUAAGCUUCCCGCCUGGGGAGUACGGUCGCAAGACUAAAACUCAAGGAAUUGACGGGGGCCCGCACAAGCGUGGAGCAUGUGGUUUAAUUCGAAGCAACGCGCAGAACCUUACCAGCCCUCGACAUUUGAUGAUUGUUCCAGAGAUGGAUCGUUCCCUUCGGGACAUCAGGACAGGUGCU